GGAGUGGGUCGGGCGAUCGCGCCGCCGGGACUUCCGGCGGUGAGGAAAGUCCGAGCUCCGCAGGACGGGAUGCUGGGUAACACCCAGGAGGGGCGACCCUACAGAGAGUGCCACAGAAAACAUACCGCUAACCGCUCGCUGCUAAGGCCGCGGGGGGCAGUAAGGGUGAAAAGGUGAGGUAAGAGCUCACCGCGUCUGCGGCGACGCAGAUGGCAGGGAAAACCUCAUCCGGAGCAAGGCCAAAUAGGGGAAGAGAGGUGGUCCGCCUCACUAUGAUUCCCGGGUAGGCCGCACCGAGGCAGACGGGUAACCGCUGCCCCAGAUGAAUGAUCGCCCCGCGCAGCGGUGCGCCGCUGCGCGGACAGAACUCGGCUUACAGACCCACUCCGACU
rnacentral:RNase_P_RNA from 1 species